rnacentral:rRNA from 1 species
ACGCUCGACACCUACGGGAGACAGCAGUGAGGGAUAUUGGUCAAUGGGGGAAACCCUGAACCAGCAACGCCGCGUGAGGGAUGACGGUCUUCGGAUUGUAAACCUCUGUCCUCUGUGAAGAUAAUGACGGUAGCAGAGGAGGAAGCUCCGGCUAACUACGUGCCAGCAGACGCGGUAAUCUGAGCGGGCUGGCAAGGC